ensembl:piRNA 21ur-402 ncRNA
UAGAAACUCUAUCUCAGAUAA